rnacentral:miRNA from 2 species
UUUUAAACUCUAAUGGGAGAGA